AGAGUUUGAUCAUGGCUCAGAUUGAACGCUGGCGGCAGGCCUAACACAUGCAAGUCGAACGGUAACAGGAAGCAGCUUGCUGCUUCGCUGACGAGUGGCGGACGGGUGAGUAAUGUCUGGGAAACUGCCUGAUGGAGGGGGAUAACUACUGGAAACGGUAGCUAAUACCGCAUAAUGUCGCAAGACCAAAGAGGGGGACCUUCGGGCCUCUUGCCAUCGGAUGUGCCCAGAUGGGAUUAGCUUGUUGGUGGGGUAACGGCUCACCAAGGCGACGAUCCCUAGCUGGUCUGAGAGGAUGACCAGCCACACUGGAACUGAGACACGGUCCAGACUCCUACGGGAGGCAGCAGUGGGGAAUAUUGCACAAUGGGCGCAAGCCUGAUGCAGCCAUGCCGCGUGUAUGAAGAAGGCCUUCGGGUUGUAAAGUACUUUCAGCGGGGAGGAAGGGAGUAAAGUUAAUACCUUUGCUCAUUGACGUUACCCGCAGAAGAAGCACCGGCUAACUCCGUGCCAGCAGCCGCGGUAAUACGGAGGGUGCAAGCGUUAAUCGGAAUUACUGGGCGUAAAGCGCACGCAGGCGGUUUGUUAAGUCAGAUGUGAAAUCCCCGGGCUCAACCUGGGAACUGCAUCUGAUACUGGCAAGCUUGAGUCUCGUAGAGGGGGGUAGAAUUCCAGGUGUAGCGGUGAAAUGCGUAGAGAUCUGGAGGAAUACCGGUGGCGAAGGCGGCCCCCUGGACGAAGACUGACGCUCAGGUGCGAAAGCGUGGGGAGCAAACAGGAUUAGAUACCCUGGUAGUCCACGCCGUAAACGAUGUCGACUUGGAGGUUGUGCCCUUGAGGCGUGGCUUCCGGAGCUAACGCGUUAAGUCGACCGCCUGGGGAGUACGGCCGCAAGGUUAAAACUCAAAUGAAUUGACGGGGGCCCGCACAAGCGGUGGAGCAUGUGGUUUAAUUCGAUGCAACGCGAAGAACCUUACCUGGUCUUGACAUCCACGGAAGUUUUCAGAGAUGAGAAUGUGCCUUCGGGAACCGUGAGACAGGUGCUGCAUGGCUGUCGUCAGCUCGUGUUGUGAAAUGUUGGGUUAAGUCCCGCAACGAGCGCAACCCUUAUCCUUUGUUGCCAGCGGUCCGGCCGGGAACUCAAAGGAGACUGCCAGUGAUAAACUGGAGGAAGGUGGGGACGACGUCAAGUCAUCAUGGCCCUUACGACCAGGGCUACACACGUGCUACAAUGGCGCAUACAAAGAGAAGCGACCUCGCGAGAGCAAGCGGACCUCAUAAAGUGCGUCGUAGUCCGGAUUGGAGUCUGCAACUCGACUCCAUGAAGUCGGAAUCGCUAGUAAUCGUGGAUCAGAAUGCCACGGUGAAUACGUUCCCGGGCCUUGUACACACCGCCCGUCACACCAUGGGAGUGGGUUGCAAAAGAAGUAGGUAGCUUAACCUUCGGGAGGGCGCUUACCACUUUGUGAUUCAUGACUGGGGUGAAGUCGUAACAAGGUAACCGUAGGGGAACCUGCGGUUGGAUCACCU
rnacentral:rRNA from 1 species